rnacentral:lncRNA from 1 species
UGCACAUUAUGCAAAUAACGUGUUUAGAAGAUUUCCACUCAGACUCCAGCCCUAUUGUUACAUUCAUGCCUCGCUGAUCACCAUGGUACAGCGACCUAGCGUGCACGGGCUUUAUCUUAAGCUGUUGUUUCGGUGCUGGGCUAGGCCUUCAUUACUGUCGUUGUGCUCCUCACGCUCACUGCAUGCAACUCAUUACACUGUUCAAAAUUAUCAUUUUGGCUGUGUUUAUUCUAAUUGAACGUGAACAUUGUGUCAAAUUUAUAUUGUAUUAACAAAGACAUCGUUACCAUUUACUCCGAUCAGCACCAAGAGGGGCAAUGUCUUCAAGAGUAGAAAGAGGCCCAGUGUUUUCGUAACCCUGUUCACUUAGGAAAGAGUUGCAGCUUUCAUCAAAGAAACUGAUGAUCUAAAAGUUGAGACUGCAUGGAUGAGCUAGGCUGCUUUGUCUGGACGAAAAUCAACCCUCCAAGGCUCCAACAGCCUCAUCACACAGAAACUCGAGGAACCGGAAGCAG